rnacentral:lncRNA from 1 species
GAAAGCCUUUAGAAGGCAGGGCUCCCUAAGGAGAGAUGUGACCGUGGAAGGCUUUCUAGAAGAGUUGGAACCUGAACUACAUCUUGAAAGAUUUUGACAUGGGAAGUUGAUACCAGCAACUGAAAAGCAGAACAAAAACACUUGGAUCGUAGGCUAACUCCUAAAAGAUUGAUCCCUGGUGCUGAUACAGGUAUGGACAUCCUGACUUGCUAUUUCUGGGUAUCUGCACGAGGAAUGGCAGCUGGAUCAGAGUGGCCUGGACUGCGGGCAGUCUUUAGUUUUAUUAGGAACACAGGGCCAGAUCAAUAAUCAAUUAGAGUUGGCAGGGGACCAGGGACUUGGAGCAUAAACAAGUCAUGAAGGGCUAAGAAUUCAGUUCAGCUACAAAGCCUCCUGUAGAAGGACCCAAAGGAUGAGGAGCCAGCAGACUAUUUGGAAUAAGGCAUGUGGCAUGCGGCCUGAGACAGAACAAGAAGUGCCUGAGAGAGAACAAGAAGUUCUUUCACAGAAGGGAGUAGGGACUGCUGGCUAAAAAGGGACCCCAUAAAGCCCACAAAGCCCUUCUGUGAUACAUGCUUUGCUGGAAAGUCUGGCUGGAAAGUGGGAGCAAGGCCAAGAUUCCAUGGAGGCCAGAGGCCUAGACCAAGUCAACCCCACAUUCCCUAAGUCACCUUUCUUUGUGAGCAUGUUCUAUGGAACAAGUCCCAUAGUAAAAUACCAAAAACCUAAGAGUUCAGUUGCACAUGUGUACCUUUUUCCUUUUAUAAAUAUUCAUGACUCCUCCUAUAGCUUAUUAAAUACAUAUAUUCAGCCACCUUGUUCAACAUAAAUUCCUGUCCCCUUUGCCCCUCCCUCAGUUUGUGUUUCUGACUUCUGGCCAGAGGCUGUACUUCCCAGACUGUCAGAAUGGCCACCCUGCAGACUGCAACCCUUUGAGAAAUAAAGCUCUCCUUUCCAAUUUUUAAAAAUAAAAAAACCUGAUGGUAAAGGAAUGAAGCUGCUUUUGUUCUAAUCUGCAUUUCCCAAAAAUGAUUUGACAAUAUAUUUUGUUUGGAGAUGGAGUCUCACUCUGUUGCCCAGGCUGGAGUGUAGUGGCACAAUCUCGGCUCACUGCAAC